CUUUGAAGUGAUGAUGGGAACUCAGCUCCAUCCUUCCCCUCUUUUCUCCGUAGACAUAGGGUGCCUCGCAUUCCUCAGCCUCGUGAUCCCGCCGUGAUGUGCUUGCUGCUUUGCUAUGGACACAGAAGGAAAAGAAUGGCAGACCAUGGCCUGAGAACUCCAGAGACAUGAGACAGAAUGAAUUGCUUCUCUUUCUAACUUAGAUUGUCUCGGAAGCUUUGUCACAAUGAUGAAAAGUUGGCCUACACAGAUGGAAACUUUCGAGUGAGGUUACAGGGCUCUUCCAAAGACCACACCCAGCCUGCAGUGGAGUUUUGAUCAUCUCGGGUGGCAUGCCCAGGAUGGCACGACAUCACAUGUGCCUCUCGUUCUCCACGGUCUCCGGGUUUUUUCCUAGGCUUUUAUCUGCUCGUGUAUACCAAAGGCAGAGGAGGUCAUGACUUCCAGCAGAAGACAUGGAGCAGAUGUGGAGGGGCUGAUGCAGGGGUAAAGUGAUGACAUCAGUGGAGACCAAAGCCACGGACAUUGCUCUGCAGGGAGGUCGCGGGCAGGUUUGAAGAACAAUGUCCCCGGGGCAAUGGAGAAAAAAGCUAUGCAAGGCCAGAGAGAAAGCCCUAGCUUCUGAUGCACUGUUCUUUGUAGCUGGGAUCUUCUGGCCUCUGAUGCUCUCUGUUGCUGUAACAAGAUUUUCAGCUCCAGCUCCAAUUUUACUUUAUUCGUGAAACCUGCUGUCUAAACUCUGCCAGCCGAGAGUGUUACCAUUUCUGACUAGCAAUGACAGCGCGUGCUUCCAGGAGGCCUUCACUAUUCAACCGCUGUCCCUUUGAGGGAAUCGUGUUGCCCGCUCCGCUCAUUACCUCAUAGAUUUCUGGGAAGUGUCCUCAGAAAGCCGUAUCCCACAAGGAGUACAUUGCAAGAGGUGCCUGUAAGUACAGGAGACCAACAGAAGCCCUACUAGCUUAGCUGCAGUGGAAGAAGACUUUGAAGGAAGUUUUACUGUGGACUAAGGAAGGACCUGAUUUUGAAACUUGAAAAUCCUCCAAUGACUCUGACCCCACAGGUAAGCUUCAAC